rnacentral:rRNA from 1 species
CUUCAUGAAGCCGGAAUUGCUAGUAAUGGCAGGUCAGCAUACUGCCGUGAAUACGUUCCCGGGCCUUGUACACACCGCCCGUCACACCAUGAGAGUUGGGAAUACCCGAAGCCUGUGAGCCAACUUUUAAAGAGGCAGCAGUCGAAGGUAGAAUCAAUGAUUGGGGUGAAGUCGUAACAAGGUACC